UACGUAGGAGGCGAGCGUUGUCCGGAAUUACUGGGUGUAAAGCGCGCGUAGGUGGCAGGCCAAGUCUGCUGUGAAAUCGCCCGGCUCAACUGGGCGCAGUCAGUGGAAACUGGUCAGCUGGAGGACGGUAGAGGCGAGUGGAAUUCCCGGUGUAGUGGUGAAAUGCGUAGAGAUCGGGAGGAACACCAGUGGCGAAGGCGGCUCGCUGGGCCGGUCCUGACACUGAGGCGCGAAGGCGUGGGGAGCGAACGGGGA
rnacentral:rRNA from 1 species